UACGUAGGGGGCUAGCGUUGUCCGGAAUCAUUGGGCGUAAAGAGCGUGUAGGCGGCCCGGUAAGUCCGCUGUGAAAGUCGGGGGCUCAACCCUCGAAUGCCGGUGGAUACUGUCGGGCUAGAGUGCGGAAGAGGCGAGUGGAAUUCCUGGUGUAGCGGUGAAAUGACGCAGAUAUCAGGAGGAACACCGAUUGCGAAGGCAGCUCGCUGGGACGUCACUGACGCUGAGGAGCGGAAAGCAUGGGGAGCGAACAGG
rnacentral:rRNA from 1 species